rnacentral:rRNA from 1 species
CCUACGGGAGGCAGCAGUCGAGAAUCAUUCACAAUGGGGGAAACCCUGAUGGUGCGACGCCGCGUGGGGGAAUGAAGGUCUUCGGAUUGUAAACCCCUGUCAUGUGGGAGCAAAUUAAAAAGAUAGUACCACAAGAGGAAGAGACGGCUAACUCUGUGCCAGCAGCCGCGGUAAUACAGAGGUCUCAAGCCUUGUUCGGAAUCACUGGGCGUAAAGCGUGCGUAGGCUGUUUCGUAAGUCGUGUGUGAAAGGCGCGGGCUCAACCCGCGGACGGCACAUGAUACUGCGAGACUAGAGUAAGGGAGGGGGAACCGGAAUUCUCGGUGUAGCAGUGAAAUGCGUAGAUAUCGAGAGGAACACUCGUGGCGAAGGCGGGUUCCUGGACAUUAACUGACGCUGAGGCACGAAGGCCAGGGGAGCGAAAGGGAUUAGAUACCCGGGUAGUC